UACGUUCACAUCACGUAGAAACACCGAUACCCGUACGAACAGCGAACUUAAGCAACGUCGUGCCUGAUCAAUGCCUAGAUGGGUGACCGCUUUGGAAUAUCAGGUGUUGUAA